CGAAACAGUAAACUUUUGUGAACAAUUUCACCAUUUUUCUUUUUUUUAUGGGAAAAAGUUUGCAAACUUAUAUUUUAAUUGCACGUAUAAAUUAUCAGAAAAUUUUAUACAGAAAAUCUUUUACGAAUCGCGGAGAAAAAUGCCAAUUAUAAAAGUGCCGCGAACAUAUUUCUUUCCACGUAUUCUUCGAAGAUAAAAAAAGACCUGUGUUAACCAAUGUAAUGAUUAUGACACGGCCGGAAUGUGCAGUCGUCAGUCGAAUUCAUGUCUCUCCGUGCUUUCUCACAUUAUGUAACGUAAUCAAAGAAAAUCGUACGAUGCCCGUUUCGGCAGGCCACGCGUUGAUCCAGCUCUCGGAUGUUCCAGCUCUGAUUACUGUCGAGUUAGCAUAUAAAUUCUAGUGGCCUUAUCCUCUGUGACCCGUCAGCGAAACCGAAGCAAUGUCCUGAGUUGCCGAGCUGCUUCGCGAUUAAUAUUUCAGCAUUUAUUUAAGAAAAGGAGAAGAGAGAGAGAGAGAGAGAUUUUUAAACGCGCUUCCAUUAUUUUCCCAAAAUAUUUAACGAAGAAUUACACGCGAUAAAAAGAUUAGAAACGAAAACUGCUUAUCAAAAUUUAACGGUAACACAGAACAAUAUAGGAACUUCUCUCAUUAUCUCAGAUUAGUAUUUACAAUUUUCUACCGCUUCACUACUUUCAACGACUGCACUGCUCUCCUGCAAAGAGAGCAUCGCCUGUACGCCAAAGGAGUAUACACUCUAUAUCGAGAAGGGAUAGAGUUUCCUUUAUUCACAUUCAAUGCAACUCCUCCUCCCAAAGUGUUUGAAGAAAUGCAGGUCAACCCCUUCCACUAAUUCAAACGUCGGAGAGAAUUGCACUCAAACGAAAUUGCACAGAAUACCAUAUCGUAAUUGGAAAAUCAAAAUAAAGCGUAAGAGAUUGCACGGACAAUGACGCGUAAAACGGACGAUAGAGGAACGAGACAAAGAGGGCGAAACACCUGCGAAUACGUGCCUAUAGGAAGCGUCGUUGUGCGAUAUUGAAAAAAAAAAGAGAAAAAUGGAAACGGUACAAUGGUGUUCGUGCGCUCGGUAUAUGACAGCUGCUGUCACGGGUAGUGCUCCGACCAUGUGCUCGGUGCACGCCGAGCAUUUCCUACAUCCACCCUCGACGCAUCGCGACGAGAGUACAGUACGCCUCAACACUAUGAUGAAAAUCCCGAUGGGAUCGACUAUUCAAUGCAGUUUGUCAUCGAAAUCUGUGUAUUAUCAUACAUGUAACGUAAUUCUGCGCAUUAAAGUGUUCGCCAAAUUUUUGGUUGAACAAAAAGCAAG